rnacentral:rRNA from 1 species
GACGAACGCUGGCGGCGUGCCUAAUACAUGCAAGUAGAACGCUGAAGGAGGAGCUUGCUCUUCUGGAUGAGUUGCGAACGGGUGAGUAACGCGUAGGUAACCUGCCUGGUAGCGGGGGAUAACUAUUGGAAACGAUAGCUAAUACCGCAUAAGAGUAGAUGUUGCAUGACAUUUGCUUAAAAGUUGCAAUUGCAUCACUACCAGAUGGACCUGCGUUGUAUUAGCUAGUUGUUGGGGUAACGGCUCACCAAGGCGACGAUACAUAGCCGACCGGAGAGGGGGAUCGGCCACACUGGGACUGAGACACGGCACAGACUCCUACGGGAGGCAGCCGUAGGGAAUCUUCGGCAAUGGACGGAAGUCUGACCGAGCAACGCCGCGUGAGUGAAGAAGGUUUUCGGAUCGUAAAGCUCUGUUGUAAGAGAAGAACGAGUGUGAGAGUGGAAAGUUCACACUGUGACGGUAUCUUACCAGAAAGGGACGGCUAACUACGUG